rnacentral:lncRNA from 1 species
AGAGCCUGUGCGUGGUAAGUAACAGGGGCGAGAGUAAUGGUAGGAUCAACGAGGCCUAGGCGAAGCAGGAGAUGCUGGCUUACCAGGCCCUGUGCCAAGCCGAGCUCAUGAGGUCGGAGAAGACGCCCCACCGGACACAACCUGGCACCGCACCCAAUCACCAAGAAGUCGAAAUAUUUCGUCGAGCUUCCAUCCAGACGUGUUCUUGAAUGGUGGCCAUUCUGGUGUGAGGAAAUCCUCCCAUUUGCGGCAGCGUUCGGUAUGAUCCCUGUUGGAGAUCUGCAUCUUUACCAGUGGAUUCAUAGAACGCUACUCUUUGAAGGUAUGGCAUGGAGUCCCUCUUUUGCAUUAGAGCGAAUGUUGUGAAGGGGAGCUGACACCUCUCUGUGGGAUUUGCAGGCGAGAGAAGAUGUACCUCGGUGAUUUUCACUUGAAAGUCGUCCAUUUUCAUCUUCACCCCAUAUUCCAAACAGCACGCAUGGAUUGAUUGGAGUCAAGUCAUGUCACACAAGCAGACGAGACGAUGGACUCUGGAUAUUAACACGUAAGGUGGUACACAGGAUUAAUUCGUUUUGACUUUCUCACUGAACUUCGCCAUUGUUUCAGGAGGAAGGAACACCAUGACUUCAAUGGCUUUCCCACCUCUCGGUGACAGGUCAUAGAAGUAGAAGCCGUUCCACAGCUUCGUAGCGUGUCGAACAGUGGCUGGUUUCCCCCAUCCAAAGUCCAGACUAUACAUUGGAAAUCUUGGAGAGCUGCUAGAGAUUGGUAAACACAACAUUGGAGUUAUUUUGUUGUUCUUGAGUGUGCUUCGCAAAAGUCUAAUAUUUUCCUUUCAGAUCAUUACAUAGUUGUGAAAUUUAUAUAUAUCCAACUGUAGUCUGCAUUUCUAUUCUGCAUAAACUUCUAUACAAAC